UACGGAGGGGGCAAGCGUUACUCGGAAUUAUUGGGCGUAAAGGGCGCGUAGGCGGUCGUGUGCGUCGGAGGUGAAAUCCCCGGGCUUAACCCGGGAGCUGCCUCCGAUACGGCAUGGCUUGAGUCCGGGAGAGGGGAGCAGAAUUCCCAGUGUAGCGGUGAAAUGCGUAGAUAUUGGGAGGAAUACCGGUGGCGAAGGCGGCUCCCUGGACCGGUACUGACGCUGAUGCGCGAAAGCGUGGGUAGCAAACAGG
rnacentral:rRNA from 1 species